rnacentral:lncRNA from 1 species
CCGCUCGCUGCAAGCUCCGCCCCCCGGGUUCCCGCCAUUCUCCUGCCUCCGCCUCCCGAGGAGCUGGGACCACAGGCGCCGCCACCGCGCCCGGCUCAAGUUUGUAUUUUUAGUAGAGACGGGGUUUCACCGUGUUAGCCAGGACUAACAGGACUGUUAGUCAGGUCUCGAUCUCCUGACCUCGUGAUCCACCCGCCUCGGCCUCCCAAAGUGCUGGGAUUACAGGCUUGAGCCACCGCGCCCGGCCGAGAAAGGUAUUGAUUUUAAACUGAUUAAAUGAAAUAACCACAUGUCAACCUGGGGGAAAGACUGAGUGAAGACCAUCAUGAUCAUCUUGAAACUCAAAGGAAUUUGCAACCAGAAUGGCUUAACUUUGAAAACAGUUACACCUCAAGGCAACCUCCUGGCAGGCCAACCUGAAGCCCACCUGUCCAACCAUGCAUCUAAGCUGAGUUCUCGUCACAGCCCACUUCAAUGAUAAACAACUGAGAUGAUGCCAGAGGCCAAAAUCCCUGAGAACCCAAUUUGUUGUCAUCACCGUGGCUAAAACAAAGUGCUUGGCAUCUAGAAAAGCUGAUCUGUAGGAAAUUUUUAAUAGAGUUCAAUUUUUUCUGAGUUUAAAGUGUACGAUAUGAAGAUCAGACACCUGAGAUAAAACUAGACUUGUAUUUAAAUAGAAUAAAAAUAUUUGAAGAAUAGUAAUAGUGGUGACUACUUUUACACAGGAAUGCUUUAAAUAAAUUGGUUUUUUCUCCUUUUAAAUUUUGUGAUUUGUCAAUGUGAUGCUGACAUAUUUUUAAUGAAGUAUGCCUCAUAAAAUAAUAAGUGAAUGAAAAAUAUACAGUAAUAUUUACAUCAACAAAGCUAGAAGAAGACUGCAUGUCCCAAGAGGCUCCAUCAUCUACCCAGUGGCCACUUAACCAAAUUAAGAUCCAAAUACCAAAAAGAAAAGCAAAUAAAAUUUGUGUUGUAUGCUUUACAAGACCAAACCCAUGAAAUGAGGGAAACUUCACAAUUACUUGUAAUUUGCUCUGUGGAAUUGUGACAGAUGGAUUGUAAAGAUGAUUCCAUGAUAAACAUCUAAAUGUGGUUACUACCUUCUGUGCUUUCUUGGUUCAUAUUUUU